CGGACGGGUGAGUAACACGUGGAUAACCUACCUAUAAGACUGGGAUAACUUCGGGAAACCGGAGCUAAUACCGGAUAAUAUAUUGAACCGCAUGGUUCAAUAGUGAAAGACGGUUUUGCUGUCACUUAUAGAUGGAUCCGCGCCGCAUUAGCUAGUUGGUAAGGUAACGGCUUACCAAGGCAACGAUGCGUAGCCGACCUGAGAGGGUGAUCGGCCACACUGGAACUGAGACACGGUCCAGACUCCUACGGGAGGCAGCAGCA
rnacentral:rRNA from 1 species